GUGCUCGCUUCGGCAGCACAAAUACUAAAACUGGAACAAUACAGAGAAGAUUAGCAUGGCCUCGGCGCAAGGAUAACCCACAGAUUUGUGAAGUGUUCCAUAUUUUU